AAUGCUAUUUUAUGGAUUUACUUGUAGAUAUAUACAACAAGACUGUUUCAAAAUUAAUUUUAAUGUUACUUUGUGGGUUAGAGGAUCCUGUGAAAAUUGAACCACCACAAAUUCUAUAAUGAUUCCACAGUAAAUUUAUUGACAAAAAAUUGUUUGUAGAAUCAGAAUUUUUUCUCUAAUAAAAUUUUGUUGAUUUGCAACCUAAAAUGGUUUUGUAGUAAUAUGUUGUUUUCUAAACAUAUGACUACAUGUAUACUGGUAUUUAAAAUUUUAUUUAGGAUUUAAUUUUGUUGAUACUUGUAUAUGGUAUCAACUAAUUAAAAAAAAUGAAUCUGUAAAUGUAUUGCUGUUUUUGCAGUUUAAUGUUUUGCAUUUACUAUACAUAUAAUUAUGUAUAUAUAUUUUAUUUGUUUGAUAUAUUUUACUUAUGCAUGUUCCUUAGUUACUUGUUUUUUACCUGUACAUUUAACUGUCAUAGCUGGUGAUAGUAUUAUACAGCAAUUAUUUUAUAAAAACCUGUUAUUUUAUUUAAUUAUAAUAAUCAUGAUUACAAGACUGAUAAUAUUUAUGUACAUGAUUCUAAACUUUAUACAUACCGGUAAUAAAUAUUAUUAAGAGAGAAUAAAAAUGGCAUUUGGGGUUGGAUUUACAUGUAGAUAUAUCCACUCAAAUUACCAUUUCUUCAAAGAAAUGGACUUUUUAGUAACUUUUAGGGUUUUAACUGCUUGCAUGAAUUUUGUUUACAGUAGUUCAACUUUGAAUCCCUGGUUUUAAAGAAUCGAGGGAUUUUAAUUUCAGUUAAACUUUAUUUUCUUGUUUUGUUUUCAUUGGUAUGCUACAGUAGAAUAAAUUUAUAUUUCAUC
rnacentral:misc_RNA from 1 species